AAUUAUAUUUGGCUAACAUUUAAAGUACUAUCAGAGAAGUUGAUUUCUAGCCAGAUGGGGGAUCUACGUAGUUUGGACGCGUUAUAUAUAACCUAGGCGACAGAUCACAAUAAUCAACAAUG